GACGAACGCUGGCGGCGUGCCUAACACAUGCAAGUCGAACGAGAAACCAGCCUUUGAUUCCUUCGGGAUGAUAAGGCCGGUAGAAAGUGGCGAACGGGUGAGUAACGCGUGGGUAAUCUACCCUGUAAGUGGGGGAUAACCCUCCGAAAGGAGGGCUAAUACCGCAAACAUCUUCCCCUCAUAAGAAGGAGAGAUUAAAGAUGGCCUCUUUAUAUGCUAUCACUUCAGGACGAGUCCGCGUCCUAUUAGUUAGUUGGUAGGGUAAUGGCCUACCAAGACCACAAUGGGUAGCCGGUCUGAGAGGAUGUACGGCCACACUGGGAUUGAGAUACGGCCCAGACUCCUACGGGAGGCAGCAGUGGGGAAUUUUGGACAAUGGGGGAAACCCUGAUCCAGCGACGCCGCGUGAGGGAUGAAGGCCUUCGGGUUGUAAACCUCUGUCAGAGAGGACGAAUUAGCUCCGAUUCUGUCGGAGCAGGUCGGUACUCUCAGAGGAAGCCACGGCUAACUCCGUGCCAGCAGCCGCGGUAAUACGGAGGUGGCGAGCGUUAUCCGGAUUCAUUGGGCGUAAAGGGCGCGUAGGUGUCUCCAUAAGUCGGAUGUGAAAUCCUUCUGCUCAACAGAAGAAUGGCAUUCGAAACUGUGGAGAUUGAGUACAGAAGAGGAGAGUGGAAUUCCUGGUGUAGCGGUGAAAUGCGUAGAUAUCAGGAGGAACACCGGUGGCGAAGGCGACUCUCUGGUCUGAUACUGACACUGAGGCGCGAAAGCUAGGGGAGCAAACAGGAUUAGAUACCCUGGUAGUCCUAGCCAUAAACGAUGCUCACUAGGUGUGGGAGGUAUCAAUUCCUUCUGUGCCGCAGCUAACGCAUUAAGUGAGCCGCCUGGGGAGACGACCGCAAGGUU
rnacentral:rRNA from 1 species